rnacentral:rRNA from 1 species
GACGAACGCUGGCGGCGUGCUUAACACAUGCAAGUCGAACGAUGAAGCCCAGCUUGCUGGGUGGAUUAGUGGCGAACGGGUGAGUAACACGUGAGUAACCUGCCCUUGACUCUGGGAUAAGCGUUGGAAACGACGUCUAAUACCGGAUACGAGCUUCCACCGCAUGGUGAGUUGCUGGAAAGAAUUUUGGUCAAGGAUGGACUCGCGGCCUAUCAGCUUGUUGGUGAGGUAAUGGCUCACCAAGGCGACGACGGGUAGCCGGCCUGAGAGGGUGACCGGCCACACUGGGACUGAGACACGGCCCAGACUCCUACGGGUGGCAG